rnacentral:rRNA from 1 species
GUGCCAGCCGCCGCGGUAAUACGUAGGUGGCGAGCGUUGUCCGGAUUUAUUGGGCGUAAAGGGUGCGUAGACGGUUUUUUAAGUGGGAUGUGAAAUCCACAGGCUUAACUUGUGAAUUGCAUUCCAAACUGGAAGGCUUGAGUACAGGAGAGGAAAGCGGAAUUCCCAGUGUAGCGGUGAAAUGCGUAGAGAUUGGGAGGAACACCAGUGGCGAAGGCGGCUUUCUGGACUGUAACUGACGUUGAUGCACGAAAGCGUGGGGAGCAAACAGGAUUAGAUACCCUGGUAGUCCACGCCGUAAACGAUGGAUACUAGGUGUGGGGGGCUACGCCCUCUGUGCCGCAGUUAACACAUUAAGUAUCCCGCCUGGGGAGUACGAUCGCAAGAUUAAAACUUAAAGGAAUUGACGG